UACGUAGGGUGCGAGCGUUGUCCGGAAUUAUUGGGCGUAAAGAGCUUGUAGGCGGUUUGUCGCGUCUGCUGUGAAAUUUCGGGGCUCAACCCCGAACUUGCAGUGGGUACGGGCAGACUAGAGUGUGGUAGGGGAGACUGGAAUCCCUGGUGUAGCGGUGAAAUGCGCAGAUAUCAGGAGGAACACCGAUGGCGAAGGCAGGUCUCUGGGCCACUACUGACGCUGAGAAGCGAAAGCAUGGGGAGCGAACAGG
rnacentral:rRNA from 1 species